UAAUGAUGAGUAUAUCACAGACCUGUUCUGAAUUAGAUUGAGGACAAAAUAUUUAUUUAAACCUGAAUAAAGUUUUCUAUGACCUUAUUACUUUAAGUAAAUGAAAAUAAGUGAAACAAUAUUUUUAUUUUUACAGGUAAAGCUACUCGCUGCUUUAGAUCAUGCAUUGAAAGAAGCCUUUGCAUUUUCCGUACAAGCCCAGCCCAGUAGGGGGCCAGCCCAUCUUAAGAUAAACAACACCACCAGUUCACAUCAUUUCAAAUUGCGAUAAUAGGUACAUAUAGCUGGUGAAAUAAAAUUAUGUAAUAUUACAAUACACAUAUAACAUUUCUUUGAAUAAAAUCAUUUUGUAAAUAAAAUAAUCAUAUAACCA